GCUCCGUAGGUGAACCUGCGGAGGGAUCAUACAGAGUUCAUGCCCUACCGGGUAGAUCUCCCACCCUAUGUUAUUAUUACUUUGUUGCUUUGGCGGGCCGUUAGGCUCCGGCCCGACUACCGGCCCCGGCUGGUAAGCGCCCGCCAGAGGACCCAAAACCCUGAAUAUUAGUGUCGUCUGAGUACUAUAUAAUAGUUAAAACUUUCAACAACGGAUCUCUUGGUUCUGGCAUCGAUGAGAACGCAGC
rnacentral:misc_RNA from 1 species